rnacentral:lncRNA from 10 species
UAAAGAAUACAAAAAACUCUGGAAGAUUUGAAGACCUGACUGAUUGAAUGUAAGAAGAAUUACCUUCAUAGGACAAUUUCUGAAUUAAACACUUAAAAUAAGUGGAUGCUUCUUUCUUCUCUUCCUGUUUCCUGCUGACAUGAAUGGAGGCACAGUGGCUGAAACUGGAACCACCUCACUGAAUCCAGACAUGAAUUCUACAGAUUGAUGAGAAUAAGGCUGUUCUACCAUUCCUGAUUUUUGAAGAUAUCUUAUUUUGACAGACUCAAAGAUCUAGAUUGCAAAAACCUGGAACCAUUUGUCAUGUAAUGCAAUCUCCAGUUCCCCUGCACCAUCAGGAAGUGGAUGGAAAAAUGGGGCAAACUUCCCAAUACCCAGAGGGUAAUAAGUAAAAGGCCAGAAUGAGCAGAGAUGAAAACCAUAUUAUAAGCAGAUCUUGCUGUAUUUCUUGGGGAGCAAAUCUCAAUUCCUGCCUAAGAGAAUCAAAUAAAGUCUAUGAAUAGGUAACUCCAGGAUUACUAAUUAUUUCUUUGUCCAACUAGAUGUUUUUAUUCUUUUUAAUCCUCCUAAUUGAUCAUGGUAUUUUGACUGUGAGUGUGGGAAAGUACAGACAACAUGAUUUCCCAAAUAACAAGAAAGUGGUUCCAGAA